UUGACGGGGCCCGCACAAGCGGAGGAGCAUGUGGUUAAUUCGAUGAUACGCGAGGAACCUUACCUGGGCUCGAACGUAAGAUGACUGUAGGUGAAAGCUUACAUCUCUUCGGAGCAUUUUACGAGGUGCUGCAUGGUUGUCGUCAGCUCGUGCCGUGAGGUGUCGGGUUAAGUCCCAUAACGAGCGCAACCCCUACCUUUAGUUGCCAUCAGGUUAAGCUGGGGACUCUAAAGGAACUGCCUACGCAAGUAGUGAGGAAGGCGGGGAUGACGUCAAAUCAGCACGGCCCUUACGUCCAGGGCUACACACGUGCUACAAUGGCCGAUACAGAGGGCAGCUACCUGGUGACAGGAUGCAAAUCUCCAAAGUCGGUCUCAGUUCGGAUCGGAGUCUGCAACCCGACUCCGUGAAGUUGGAUUCGCUAGUAAUCGCGCAUCAGCCAUGGCGCGGUGAAUACGUUCCCGGGCCUU
rnacentral:rRNA from 1 species